rnacentral:rRNA from 1 species
CCUACGGGAGGCUGCAGUGAGGAAUAUUGGUCAAUGGCCGGAAGGCUGAACCAGCCAAGCCGCGUGAAGGACGAAGGUGCCAAGCAUUGUAAACUUCUUUUGUCAAGGGACAAAAUCAGGCUCGAGAGCCUGACCGAGGGUACUUGAAGAAAAAGCAUCGGCUAACUCCGUGCCAGCAGCCGCGGUAAUACGGAGGAUGCGAGCGUUAUCCGGAUUUAUUGGGUUUAAAGGGUGCGUAGGCGGGCUGUUAAGUGAGCGCUAAAAGCCCGGGAGGCAACCCCGGAGAGCCGUUGAAAGUGGCUGUCUGGAGAUGUCGAGAGGUAUGCGGAAUGCGCAGUGUAGCGGUGAAAUGCGUAGAUAUUGCGCAGAACUCCGAUUGCGAAGGCAGCAUACCGGCGGCGAUCUGACGCUGAGGCACGAAGGCGUGGGGAGCGAACAGGAUUAGAUACCCGUGUAGUC